UCGCUGUGUAUUAAACACACUUCUGUCGUAUGUACUUGUUGGCCCAUUUAAUUAUAUAUUUACGUUGUUUGUCAGCUAGCUGGUUUGCUAAAUUAGCUUAGGACUAGGCUAGUCGCGAAUGCUAGCUAGCUAACAUCCCCGACCAUGAGGUCACUUAGCUACUCUCCUCCUGCUAAAGAAGAGGCGGUCUGCUGGAAGGAGAAAGAAGGUCUCGUGGAAGAGGAGGAUGUUACAAUACAAAAACAAGUAGAAGGUGACGCUGUUACCGUGAAAGAAGAAGAGAAAGACGUUUCAGUGAAAGAAGAGGAAGAUGCGUUCAGAGUGAAAUAGGAGGAAGAGAAAAAGGGUGCAGUUUUUGGAGUGACGGAGGAGGAGGGGGAGAUGACUGUCACAUUGGAGGAAGAAGAGGAGGUUGGAGAUCGAGUGAACACCAGAGAGAUACGGGACAAUCGUGGAUCCUCUGGGGAGCCUCAACAACCUCAUGAAGCUGAAGAGGCAGAGAAGAGUCUCUCCAGAUCAGAACAUCUCAAUAAACACCUGCAAAGACCCACAGGGAAGAGAACUCACUGCUGCUCUGACUGUGGGAAGAGAUUCACCUCGUCAGGCAUUACAAUUCAUCAGAGAACACACACAGGAGAUACAUCUUAUAGCUGUGCUCAAUGUGGGAAGAGUUUUGGUCGAUCUUGCCAUCUGACUCAUCAUCUGAGAAUACACACAGGAGGGAAAUCUUACAGCUGUGAUCAAUGUGGGAAGAGUUUUACAACAUCUAGCACUCUAACUCUACACCAGAGAACACACACAGGAGAGAAACCUCAUAGCUGUGAUCAGUGUGACAAGAGAUACUCUGAUAAAAGAUCUCUGAUCAAACAUCAGAAAAUACAUGGAGUUAUUUCAUGAUAUUAAUUAAUUCAUGUCACAAUGUAGAAUGUUUUAACAUUGUAGUAGGAGUAUUUUAAUGAGGUCACAAUGUAGAAGCCUAAAUGUUUGUUCCCUGUUCUAUUGAUUUCAGCAUGAUAUGGAUUUUAGCCUCAGGGGAACAUCCAGGCUCUGAAUUGAAAGAGUACUAUUUAUAUGAUUUAACACAAAAAGAGUUGUGUUAUACUUACCAUGUUGGUGACACAUUUGAAUCAAAAUGCAACACUUCAAAAUGUAGCUAGCUGUUUUCUACAAGUUGUCCUCUAACCAGUGAUGUACACAUUAUUCCCAGAUUCCGUGUGGGUUUUGAGCUGUUAGUUUUAACAGGACAUGCAACCUCAUCUCCCUUCAUUCACUUAAUUGAUUUUAGCAUGAUAUCGAUGGGAUAUGACAAAUAAGUGUUGUGUUCCUUUGCUUAGCAACCCCUAUAUUUAAAUGCGUCGCUCCAAAAUAUAGCUGACUGUCUUCUGCAGGUUGUCCUCUAACCAGCGAGGUAAAAUAUCUUCCAUUUCCAUGUGUUUUGUUUAGUUGUGUUAGUUUCAACAGCAUGUACAACCUGAUUUCUGUUUCAGUAUGGUAUGUUAGAUAAAGGAAUAACGACAGACACCAAUGUCAGGUCCAAUAGCCUUGUUUGUGCAUUGUACGAAUCCCUACAACUGGAGUCCGGGGAACAGUCCGGCUUGUCGAUUACCUAUCAACUAGACUCUGUAACAAUUCCCCCCGAAUCGAUAUCAGGGAUUUAUUGCUACUUGUCUGAACAACAGUGGUUUUGGUGCUUGUGUCCAUGGCGAGGACAACUUGGUUUCUGAUUGUCUCAAGGUUGGACAGUAAAAAAAAAAAUUGUUUUUUGUUUAGCCAGUGCGUUCCAUUGAUCAAAUUAUUUUGACUUUCCGUAAUAGAGAUGAGUUUUGUUUGGGCUUGUUCCAAGGAGACGAGAGUUCUAGAAGCUAGUGAGUUUUGGGAAGACAAGAGUUCUAGAAGCUAGUGAGUUUUAGGAUUCUAUAGAAAUAAACAUGUUCUAGAAGCUAAUGGGGAAAAAAUACAUUUCUUGUUUUUAUUUGUUGACAGCCAGUAGACACCAUGUUUAUAUUGGUGAAGGUGAAGCAUUGUAGUUGAUAAUAAUGUGAAAUGGAAGUUGUUUUCUGUUCGCGGUGAGCAUUCUCUUCAGGUGUUAGUCUUUGGUUUUUCCAUUUGAGGUUGGACUUUAGCACGUACUGAUUGGUGUCACCUCGUUAGUCAGUAUGUGUUUCACCUGAGCUGGUCCAGGUUCUAUUUAAGAGUGUCUGGCCCAGUGCUCCAGUUGUCUUGAUAAUGUGGAAUGUCAGCAUCUUUAGUUGCUCCACCUUUUUUGAUUGAUUUCCUAUCUGUAAAUUUGGUGUGGGUUAUUAUUUUGUUUCCCUCUUCUUGGGCAGAUUUAGUGGGUCUCAUGGGUGUCUUUUAGGUCCCAGUUGUUGUUACUUGUCAACUUUCAGUGGACACUGUGAGAGCAAAACUGCAAGAUUAUGUUAUUAUACUUUUAUUGCAUCAAAUGGUUGUUUUAUGCAACAAAAUAGAGGGUGUCUGUGUUCUACUGAGGAUGGGCCUCUGGGAGAAAACACUGACAGGAGAUUUACAAUGUCUUUUAGGUGAUGAAACCUAAAGAGACCGCAUUCCAGAUCAUGAGUUAAUGUUUCUGUUAUAUAUGGUACCAGGGAGAGAUGACCCCAGGGCCAGACUCUGGUCUCUACACAAAGAGUACUGUUUUUACAGCAGAUACUUAUAAUUCUCAGCAGAUCGUAUCUUUCAUACCAAUCUUAACCUUGUGACCCAUUCUAUACAUCUGUUGUUCGCCAUGUAGGUUGAAAUAUAUCUUGGCUAUAAAAUACCUUUGUACUUUUGUUUGCAGUCUGUUCUGUGUUCCAUGUAGGACUAAAGAUCAAGACCACCCAGUGUUACAUCUUCCUUUUGGAACCAUUAUACAUUCAGGAUGUAACACAACAACAUGUGGGACAAGUCAAGGGGUGUGAAUACUUUCUGAAGGCACUGUAUAUAUAAAAUUACCCCUGUCCCCCCCCACCCAGCAAUCUAAUAGCAUCAGUCAGGCUCUAAUUGUUAAUAUUAUCAAUGGGUUUUCCUUAGAAUGCCCAUUAGUCUUUCAGUUGUUAUUCUUCUGUUUUUUUUGUAUGUUCCUUGUGGUAAAUAUUUCAGUUCAUUUUCAUUGUUUUUUUUAUUCGUUUUUUCCUGUGAAGCCAUUGUGUUGCAUCCAUGUCUGAAAUGUGCUGUAUAAAUAAAACUUGAUUUGAUUUCAA